GCCUGGGAUAAGAAAAUCCUUAGUUUUUCCGUAAAUUCAAAGUUUUGUAAACAGGAAAUUUAUAAAAUGACCACAUUAAUGAUAUUCAUGUCAACACCGAAGUGUUGACUACUGGGCUUGUGAUACCCUCGGGGACGAAACGUCCACCAGCAGUGGCAUCGACCCAGUGGUGUAAAUAGUUAUCAAAGGUACCAGGAUUAUAAUUUAGUACGCCAGACGCGCGUUUCGUCUACAUAAGACUCAUCAGUGACGCUCAUAUCAAAAUAUUUAUAAAGCCAAACAAGUAAAAAGUUGAAGAGCAUUGAGGAUCCAAAAGUCCAAAAAGUUGUUCCGAAUACGGCUAAGGUAAUCUAUGCCUGGGAUAAGAAAAUCCUUAGUUUUUCCGUAAAUUCAAAGUUUUGUAAACAGGAAAUUUAUAAAAUGACCACAUUAAUGAUAUUCAUGUCAACACCGACGUGUUGACUACUGGGCUUGUGAUACCCUCGGGGACGAAACGUCCACCAGCAGUGGCAUCGACCCAGUGGUGUAAAUAGUUAUCAAAGGUAC
rnacentral:lncRNA from 1 species